rnacentral:rRNA from 1 species
AACGCGAAGAACCUUACCAAGGCUUGACAUGAACCGGAAACACCUGGAAACAGGUGCCCCGCUUGCGGUCGGUUUACAGGUGGUGCAUGGUUGUCGUCAGCUCGUGUCGUGAGAUGUUGGGUUAAGUCCCGCAACGAGCGCAACCCUCGUUCUAUGUUGCCAGCGCGUUAUGGCGGGGACUCAUAGGAGACUGCCGGGGUCAACUCGGAGGAAGGUGGGGACGACGUCAAAUCAUCAUGCCCCUUAUGUCUUGGGCUUCACGCAUGCUACAAUGGCCGGUACAAAGGGUUGCGAUACUGUGAGGUGGAGCUAAUCCCAAAAAGCCGGUCUCAGUUCGGAUUGGGGUCUGCAACUCGACCCCAUGAAGUCGGAGUCGCUAGUAAUCGCAGAUCAGCAACGCUGCGGUGAAUACGUUCCCGGGUCUUGUACACACCG